rnacentral:rRNA from 1 species
AAUGAACGCUGGCGGCGUGCUUAACACAUGCAAGUCGCACGAGAACGCUUCAGCUUGCUGGAGCUAGUAAAGUGGCGCACGGGUGAGUAACGCGUGGGUAAUCUACCUCCGAAUUGGGGAUAACACUGCGAAAGCGGUGCUAAUACCGAAUGACAUCUCAGGGACCUCGGUCUCUAAGAUCAAAGGUGGCCUCUACAUGUAAGCUACUGUUUGGAGAUGAGCCCGCGUACCAUUAGCUAGUUGGUAGGGUAAUGGCCUACCAAGGCGAGGAUGGUUAGCUGGUCUGAGAGGAUGACCAGCCACACUGGCACUGAAACACGGGCCAGACUCCUACGGGUGGCUG